rnacentral:rRNA from 1 species
UACAGAGGGUGCAAGCGUUGUUCGGAAUCAUUGGGCGUAAAGGGCGUGUAGGCGGUCUGUUAAGUCAUGUGUGAAAUCCCUCGGCUCAACCGGGGAACGACGCAUGAAACUGACAAGCUAGAGUACCAAAGAGGGGGGUGGAAUUCCCGGUGUAGCGGUGAAAUUCGUAGAUAUUCGGAAGAACACCAGUGGCGAAGGCGGCUCACUGGUCCGGUACUGACGCUGAGGUGCGAAAGCGUGGGGAGCAAACAGG